GGGAGCAGUCUAUGCAUGGUUCAUGCAUUAUUUUGCAUGAUCAGAUGGCCAGAAAGAGUUGCAGACAUGAUCGGAUGGCCACGAGAGCUUGCAGGGUUGAUCAAGCAGUCAAAAGAGUUUUUUGAGUCCUAUUAAGACUUUGAUUUUGACUGAAACUUGAUUUGGGCCCUUUAAAAGGGACAGACAGGUUGAGAGCGGCAGUGGAGCACAAAGAGGGGCUAGCAGUGA
rnacentral:lncRNA from 1 species